rnacentral:rRNA from 1 species
AUACGGAGGGUGCGAGCGUUGUUCGGAAUUAUUGGGCGUAAAGCGCGUGUAGGCGGUUUGCUCAGUCUGAUGUGAAAGCCCUGGGCUCAACCUGGGAAGUGUAUUGGAUACUGGCAGACUUGAGUACGGGAGAGGGUAGUGGAAUUCCCAGUGUAGGAGUGAAAUCCGUAGAUAUUAGGAGGAACACCGGUGGCGAAGGCGGCUACCUGGACCGAUAUUGACGCUGAGACGCGAAAGCGUGGGUAGC